UAUUUAUCUCCAUACCUUGGCCAACUCUAUUGAUCCUUGUUGCACUUCAGAAAAAGAAAGUAGUACACUAUAUGUAAGCUAAAUGGAUUUAUUAAUAACAGAAAACUGUGCAGCAUGAUGAUAAGCAAAAAAAAAAAAGGUAUGUGAAUGUAUUACAUAUGAACAUAGAACAGGUUAAAAGGAGGUUAUAAUUAUCUCAACAGAAAAUAAACAAACUAUGUUAGAAGAUUUUGGUUUGCUGUUAUAACCCCUCUAUUUUUCUGUACUAAGCAGCUUUCUGUUUUUCAUGAAAGUUGCUUAAGAAUGGAAUGAAAAAAAUUGUGGAACAGACAGCAACUAUACCAAGCAUGCUACAUGUGUAUAGCAUCUGAACUCAGACAAGCACAGGAAUUAUUCAAGAAUAUCUUUUUCAAAAUGAGAAAUAUAAGAUUGCAUGAUUAUUUUUAAUUCCGAGUGUUCUAUCACCAACUGUAAUACGAGAAAAGGAAAGAAAGUUAAAAUACAUAAUAGUAUAUACAAUACCUCCAACAUCUCUGCUACUGAAUGUCUUCAAGAGAACUUUUUAAAAAUGAUCAUAAUUAAUCGCUUAAUAGCAAAUAAAAGUAGGCUUCUCACCUCAUUUCAAAAAUAUUCAACAGAGUUGAGGGCAUUUCAGAAGCUUAACGUUAGCCUGCUAUAGCUGUUCCAAACAGUUUGUUGUCAAUCUUUCUUCUGCUGCAUGUGUAAAGUGUUGUCUUUGUCAAUCAGAAAAUAUCCACAAUAAAUUGACACUUGUGCACACAAUAAUUAUUUUUUAAGUUUACCAUUUUUGCCAUGUGAUCAGUCCACCCUGCAAAAGGAACUGCUCAAACAGAUCAUAAAAACUCUAAAUGUAUUUGACUUUAAAGCCGAUGAGAGUAAACCUUUGACCGGUACAGAACAUACACUGCUCAACCAGUAUAUGGUGCAGGGUUAAAGUAUAAGGACAGUUUUUUUUGUUGCUCAUUAAUGUUCCUCAUGUUUCUGUACUUCAGAGAGAAAAAUUAUGUGGCGAGAAAGAUUGAGUUGAAGUUAUUCAAACUAGGUUUUUGAAAGUUUCCAGUACCAAUUCCAGGCUUCAUCUGCUAAUGUUAAAAUUUUAAUUUUAUGU